GUCGACGAGAGAAUUGCUAGCUUGCUAAUAAUUCUCUAGUGGCGCACGGGUGAGUAACACGUGAGUAACCUGCCCCCGAGAGCGGGAUAGCCCUGGGAAACUGGGAUUAAUACCGCAUAGUAUCGAAAGAUUAAAGCAGCAAUGCGCUUGGGGAUGGGCUCGCGGCCUAUUAGUUAGUUGGUGAGGUAACGGCUCACCAAGGCGAUGACGGGUAGCCGGUCUGAGAGGAUGUCCGGCCACACUGGAACUGAGACACGGUCCAGACACCUACGGGUGGCAGCAGUCGAGAAUCAUUCACAAUGGGGGAAACCCUGAUGGUGCGACGCCGCGUGGGGGAAUGAAGGUCUUCGGAUUGUAAACCCCUGUCAUGUGGGAGCAAAUUAAAAAGAUAGUACCACAAGAGGAAGAGACGGCUAACUCUGUGCCAGCAGCCGCGGUAAUACAGAGGUCUCAAGCGUUGUUCGGAAUCACUGGGCGUAAAGCGUGCGUAGGCUGUUUCGUAAGUCGUGUGUGAAAGGCGCGGGCUCAACCCGCGGACGGCACAUGAUACUGCGAGACUAGAGUAAUGGAGGGGGAACCGGAAUUCUCGGUGUAGCAGUGAAAUGCGUAGAUAUCGAGAGGAACACUCGUGGCGAAAGCGGGUUCCUGGACAUUAACUGACGCUGAGGCACGAAGGCCAGGGGAGCGAAAGGGAUUAGAUACCCCUGUAGUCCUGGCAGUAAACGGUGCACGCUUGGUGUGCGGGGAAUCGACCCCCUGCGUGCCGGAGCUAACGCGUUAAGCGUGCCGCCUGGGGAGUACGGUCGCAAGAUUAAAACUCAAAGAAAUUGACGGGGACCCGCACAAGCGGUGGAGUAUGUGGCUUAAUUCGAUGNCACGCGAAGAACCUUACCNGGGCUUGA
rnacentral:rRNA from 1 species